rnacentral:rRNA from 1 species
CAAAAGGUUUGGUCCUGGCCUUUUUAUUAACUUUUAGUAAACUUACACAUGCAAAUAUCCUUGCUCCUGUGAGAAUGCCCUCUAUAUCACUAUGAUCAAAAGGUGCAGGCAUCAAGCUCACUAAACAGUUGCUCAUAACGCCUUGCUCAACCACACCCCCACGGGAUACAGCAGUGAUUAAGAUUAAGCCAUGAACGAAAGUUCGACUAAGUUAUACUAAUACCAGGGUUGGUAAAUUUCGUGCCAGCCACCGCGGUCAUACGAUUAACCCUAGUUAAUAAAACACGGCGUAAAGCGUGAUUAAAAACUUAGACCCAAUAAGACUAAGCCCAGACUAAACUGUAAAAAGCCCUAGUCAUAAUAAAAAUAACUAAACGAAAGUAGUCUUAAAACAUUUGAAUUCACGAUAGCUAAGACCCAAACUGGGAUUAGAUACCCCACUAUGCUUAGCCCUAAACAUAAAUACUCAAUUAACAAGACUAUUCGCCAGAGUACUACUAGCAGCAGCUUAAAACUCAAAGGACUUGGCGGUGCUUUACAUCCCUCUAGAGGAGCCUGUUCUAUAAUCGAUAAACCCCGAUAUACCUCACCACCUUUUGCAAACAUCAGCCUAUAUACCGCCAUCUUCAGCAAACCUUAACAAAGUCUCACAGUAAGCACAAUAAUUAGUACAUAAAGACGUUAGGUCAAGGUGUAGCCUAUGAGGUGGGAAGAAAUGGGCUACAUUUUCUAUAUACUAGAACAGCCACUUCACGACAGCUUUAAUGAAACUUAAAGCCCAAGGCGGAUUUAGUAGUAAGCUAAGAAUAGAGUGCUUAGCUGAAUUGGGCAAUAAAGCACGCACACACCGCCCGUCACCCUCUUCAAAUUCCAUAGACAACUAAUCAUACCUAAUUUCCCCUACUAACNNNAGAAUAAGAAGAGAUAAGUCGUAACAAGGUAAGCAUACUGGAAAGUGUGCUUGGAACAAC